AUUCCAAACUUGAAGUAGAAUAGUUGAGUAUGGUCAGCUGAUCCUACCAAUCUAAUCUACUUCAAGUUUGUACCC
rfam:Haemonchus contortus, ISE/inbred ISE, WGS project CAVP01000000 data, contig: Hcontortus_18157